ensembl:lncRNA
AUGUCUUAUGGCAAUAUAAACAUUUCUAGGAAACAUGGAAUGGAAGAAGAAUAUGAAGAAAUUAAUAUUCAGAGCAGAGAUGCCAAUACUGGAAAAGAGUACAUGGACAUCCAGAAACACAGAACAACUCAAAACACAGUGAGGAUCAGAAACUACAGAGCAGCUGUAGUGUGUUUGGUUCUGCUGUGUGUUCUUCUGCUGACUGCAGUCAUAGUGCUGUUUGUCCACAUCUAUACAAACUGGACACAAAAGAAAGAUCAGAACAAGUCUGACCACCUUCCAAAUUUUGGAAAAGGUAGGUUUCUUCUUUUUAUGUAGUUUUAUAAGUAUGGAAGCAUAUGGGUAGCAAUAUCCAAUUUGGAAUGUAAUAUGCAAAAGGACAAUGCAAUAUGUAAAAUUGCAAUGCAUUUCUGUAUUUACAUUUACAUUUUCCAAUACAUUUGUGCAACGUAUGUUGCAAAAUGAAAAUGAAUAAUUUAAAUUUCGUUAGGAGGGUUUGCCUUUGCCAUUGUUCCCGAUGGCCUGGCAGCUGAUUUGGCCCACUAUUUUAACUAUAUUGUUGUAUAAUUGCACGCCGAAUGUACUAAAGCAAUUAUUUCUGAAUCCGCCAUUUGAUAAGCUAAAUCUUUAAUAAGUCAUGAAUCGGUUAGUCAUGACUGCAAUGGUUCAGCUCGCAUGCUCUCCUCGCCUCCGCCAAAUGGUUUGGAUCAGACUCUGAGUAAUCAAUGCGAGAGAGAGCUGGAGCAGAGAACUGACACUUCUGUUUAGGGUUUCAAGUGCAGGUCAGUUUCAGCUAUAUGCUAUUCUAGUUUUGCCUUUGUUCACUUAGUUAAGCAGCAGCAGCCCAUUGUUCACAAUCACUCAAAAUAUUGUAUAAAGGAAAUCAUUAUUAUCUGUUGUAAUGUUACAGUAAUAAUUUAGCAGAAAAAUAAUCAUAUUUUAUAAUAGGUUUAGGGGGAGCAAGGGCAGACAACAACACAACCCUUAUGAAAAUAAAUGUAUGGUAUGCCAUGGUUAUCAAACAUUAACCAUGGUUUUUGCUACACUAACCAUAGUUUAUUUAUGAAUUUUGUAUUUAAAAUAAAUACAAACUGUAAUUUAUUUGCGAAAAAAAAAAAAAAAAAAAAAAAAACUUGGUUACACAAAACAUGGUAAAAACAUGACUCAUGUUCAGUACUAGGAUUGUUUUAUACAUAUAUUGUUGUGAUUACUAAUUUUGAAACGUAGGCAAUUUAGAAAGUAAUGUUUUGUUAAAUCUUGAGUAUUAAAGUCAUUAGAGUAAUAGAAAUCAGGGCAAAAUAAAUAAAAUGAAAAGAAAAAUGGAAGUGAAGUUGCAGUUCAGGAGAUAACUUUGAGUAUUUUGCAUGUCCCCAACUUAAGGAUUUAAAAAAUGUUUUAUGUGAAGCUCAUACAAAAAAAAAAAAAAAUAGAGAUGUCCAUGUUUCAGAAUAUGUUUUGGGUGUAUGAGUGUGCUUUCUCGGCCUAUAUAUAUAUAUAUAUAUAUAUAUAUAUAUAUAUAUAUAUAUAUAUAUAUAUAUAUAUAUAUAUAUAUAUAUAUAUAUAUAUAUAUAUAUAUAUAUAUUCCCCAUUCCAAUCAUCUUAAUUCAAGUCAUGAAAGAUGGUGAAAGUCUGACAGUGUUGAGCACUGCUGUAAGGUUAACCCUGUGUGGUGUAAAUGUUUGAAAAUAAUUAACAGUUGAAAAUAAACAUUCAUUAGAAAUUUAGAAAAGUAAUAAAAAAGUAAUCAAAAGUAAUCUGUUAAAAGGUUGCACUACUAUUACAUUUUAAAUAGUGUAACUUGUAAUCUGUAACCCAUUACAUUUCCAAAGUAACCUUCCCAACACUGACUAUGACUUUAGACUAGGUUUUAUACUUUAGAUUAAUACUUUUCUGACUUAUGGCCUCUAUGCAAGACUUCACACAUGUACAUACUUUCCCACACUUUGGACUCAUCUGCUAAUGACAUAUGAAGAAGAACAACAGCAAAGAGGUUCAUUUAGGUUCAUUUGACCACGUCUAUCAUAAUUAGGAAGUUAGACAAGAACCAAUGCCAGAAUUCUUCAGAAGAGAAGCACUGUGGGAUGACACACUGUUCACACAGAGUUUAGCAAGAUGCUCAAGUAUUGUCUUUUCUGUCACAUAUGUCCUGAAGACACAACAAUCUUGUUACUCAAGACUAGAUGUUACACAAGUCAUAGGUUCUUAUGGUUAGUGUGGCUGUCUAGCCAUCUUGUCUACAUUGUUUAUUGCAACACAUUAAGUAUGAAGUGUUAAAACAUUUUGUUUUUUAAAUGCAUACAGUACAUCAAAUGUGCAAGGUAAAUUGUUUACCUUUACUUCCAAAGCGGUAAAAUACUAAUUAUCCCAUUUGAAACAACCUCAAUAGUCCUGCCAUCAUAACACAGCCAUUUCCAUUCACACAUCUUAACUACAUCACAUGGUGAAGGUCCACACAGGUAUAAAUGAAUGAACAAACAAACAAACAAGCAAACAAUUACACUUGCAACAGUUACAUUAAGAAACAUUAAAGAAAACCCACCCAUUGUUCUGAAUGGUUAUGGUUACAUGCAUAUAGUCAUGUUAAUAGUGUAUUUGAAUGUGCAGCCAAAUAUGUUGUAUUCACCCCUUCAAUGUCAAAUAUGAAUAGGAGGAGAUCAUUUGGCAUUGAACUCAAAAUAACUGUUUUCAACAGAUCAAUCUUUAUCCGUAAACAAAGUUAUCAUCCAUAAAAGUCGAAGAACAUUUUAUGCAAACCCAUAAAAGGCUGCAUCUAACUUAUAAUCUCUUGAAUAUGAUAACACAACAAAUCCAUUUGUCUUAAAAUGGUGUAACAGUGCAGAACACAGUACAGCCAUUAAGUUAACAAGGUAUUGUGUAUUAAUAAGUGUUUUAAAUGAAAAUAAAUAAAAAUAGAAUUAAGAAAAUAUUACAUCUAUAUAAUAAAAAGGGUAUACUUGAAUGAAAAUUAUGCAUUUAACUGUUUGGUUACCAACAAAAAUAUGCAAAAUAGCUUCUUUUGUGUUCAACAGAAGAAAUAAUCUCAUAGGUUUGCAACUUGAAGAUGACGCAAUUUCUAUUUUUGGGUGAACUUUCCCUUAUGUAGAAGUAGCCUACAAGGAGUAAUGCAGUGAAGGUACACAGUUUUAUAAAUUAACAUAAAACAUAGAUGCACUUUGUGAUGUGAAUAUAUACAAUCUCAUAUAUUUAAAUAAUUUGAUUAGGUCAAAUGGAUUAACCUUGACAAAAGUCUUUGCCAUUCAUGAAAUUAAUAAUAUUAUUUUGUAAAAUAUAUGAUUAUUUAAAUACAUAUAAUUUGUAGGCUGCACCCAUGAUUGUUUGUUUAUUUAUGUACUUAUUAUUGAACAUGCAGAUAUGUUCAUUCUUAGUGUGUUAAAUGAAAAUAAAAAUACAAAUAAAAAGAAUGAAGAAAAUAUUACAUCUAUAUCAUAAAAAGG